GAUUGAAUGAAUUAAGGAGUAAUUGUUGGGCUUCUAACCCGAUAUAGAUGUUUGUUCAUUGCUUCUUUAUGAAAUUUUCAUCU
rnacentral:tRNA from 3 species